rnacentral:rRNA from 1 species
UACAGAGGUCUCAAGCGUUGUUCGGAGUUACUGGGCGUAAAGGGUGCGUAGGCGGCUUUUUAAGUUUGGUGUGAAAUCUCCCGGCUCAACUGGGAGGGUGCGCCGAAUACUGAGAGGCUAGAGUGCGGGAGAGGAAAGUGGAAUUCCUGGUGUAGCGGUGAAAUGCGUAGAUAUCAGGAGGAACACCGGUGGUGUAAACGGCUUUCUGGACCGUAACUGACGCUGAGGCACGAAAGCGUGGGUAGCAAACAGG